GGCUGUUGACCUUAAAAGCUCAACUCACUUGGAAAGAAUACAUCGGUGUUUUUCCAUUCCCUAAAUCCAGUUGUUGCAUGGUGUAUUACAAUCAUUUCUAAAAUGUGGUUUUCUACUAUAAAGUGGGUUCUGGGUAUUAGGUCUGUGGUCUUUCUCCUUUUUUUUUUUUUUUCAUGUUCUUUAAAGCUGUUCUUUGAAGGGGGUUCCCUGGACAGCAGCCUACCUAGAGUUCUUGUGCUCAUUCGGAGGUGAGCAGGAGAGAUGCAGUCUUAGCAGAGCAAACAGAAAGACUUUCUCUGUAGCAUGGCUUGUUUGUAGACAUGUGGGUGUAAAACAAAGCUGGGACUUGAGGAUGCUGUGGUUUGGGUACCAGUGUCCUCUGAAGGCUUGAGUGUUAACAGCUAGCUCCCCGGCAUGAUGCUCUUGGGAGGUGAUGGAACUUUGGAGAGGUGACACAUACUGGGAGUUUUUAGGUGACCACAACGAGGUUGUAUAGUGUCAGAAAGUUGUUGUUAACUGUAGAAGUGACCUUUAAGGAGACAUUGGGUCCUGGCCACUUCCUUUCUGUCCUUCUUGCUUUCUGGUGGAUAAUUUGCUGGGUCACGAAAUUCAAUGUGCUUUGCUUACCUUCACUGGAUUCUUUAAAACUAUGGAUCACAAUAAACAUUUUUCUUUAAAAGUUGCUAUUUCAGUCACAGUCUCGGAAAGCUGACUAACUAACAUGGGAGGUGAGCUGGAGAGGGACCCAGGAGGAUGAGGGGGGUUCCCUGGGCAGCAGCCUACCUAGAGUUCUUGUGGUCUCUGGUUGAGCAGGGGAUGUUUAUGGAGUUGAAGGGCUGGAACACAGCAACAAAGAGGGGAGAGGGAGACUGGGGAUAGGAUGUGCAGGCACCCAGAGAUUGAGGGAUGUCUGCUGGUGGGUGGCCUAUCUGGCCUUCUAGAGGCCACUAUGGCUUGUGGUCUGGCAGGGGACCUCUACCAGAGUUGGGACCUGGGAUAUGGUGAUAAGAAGGGGAGGGACAGUUGGAGGUAAGGUGGGUGGUGUGAGCAUUGUGAGUGGGUGAUACACUUCCUCCAACAAAGUCAUAUCUACCUCAACAAGGACAUACCUCCUAAUAGGACCACUCCCUAAUGACCAAGCAUUCAAAUCUACAAACCUGAGAGGGCCAUUCCUAUGCCAACCACAACAGGAAGAAAUGACCUUUCAUGUUUGGUCAGUGUCUGGGUUUACCGAAAAAAAAAACUGCUGCAGUCACAGAACACAGAGAGCUUGCAGUGAGCAAAGGAGAGAAGCAUGUGGGAGCUAAGCUAUGAGUAGUUGGCUCUUCAGAUUUUCUAGCAGUUAAAGCAAAGUUUAAAAGAGGUGCAUCAUCAAAUGAUACAAUAAAACACAGGCUCCCUGAGAGGCUGUCAUAAAAUAUAAAAGCUAUAAAUUAUGAUUUACACAGUCCAGGAGUCUUUGCCUUAGCAGAGGCAGGAGACUGCCAAUACCUUACAGUACAUGGACAGCUCCGCUCGUCCGGAACAUUUAUCCGCAGGCAGCCACCAUGCCUCUGCCCACUGUGGAGCUUACUUUACAAUCUCAACCCUGAAACAUCAUCAGGUUACCCCUUUAGCUCCUGAUUUGUCUUAUUUGGAUUUCUGAGGGGCACCAGGGGGGAGCCAAGACUGUCUUCCCUCUAGUCUCUUUCUGGAACUUUCCUUUUCUCAGGAAAUUAAUCCCCUCAGUCUGAUUGAUAGCAUACUGUUGUUGGUACAGCAUGCACCACCUCCUCUGGAUGUCAGAAAGUGUUGGGCAGAGAAACAAGAUGAAGUUCCUGCUACCCUUGUGUGUUCCUUAAUAGAGCUUGCUCAACACCAAGCUAUUCAGAGUGAUGGACACAGUGUAUUAGGGCUACUUUUAGUGAUGCUCUAGAGCUUAUGUUUUCUAAGGAUAUGGUUUUAUCUGUAUUGAAAAGGUUCAACCGUGCAUAUAUUUGGGAAAGGAAGGUGUUCAUGUCCGACAGAUGAACGUGAUGAUGACGACUUACUAUAUAGAUCGAAUUCUUUUUAGCUUUAGCUUUGCUAUUGACUUGGGGUGGGGGCUUUUAGGUGUUCUUCCAACUGCACUGACCUAGAAAUAUGAAGGUCCACUAUCUCCACCCUUCUAAUGUGCUAUGGUAACCUUGAGCUUAUCCAGGGAAGAAGAGGAGGAGGCUUGUCUUGCCAAGCGUCCAGGAUCUGUAGAGGCCGGUGUGCUCCCAUGACAGCAGGUUGGCUAGGCAACCUGGAGUGCGCUUGCAAACAAGCCUGGAUGUUCUUGCCUGGUUGGCUGCCAUUCCCUAAGAAGGCAAGUAGGUACGAUAAAUUGGACAGUAAUGGCUGAUGUGCUAACCUUUGAGAAGUGUUGGUAUUUUACGGCCAGGGGUUUGUUUGGACAGGACUACUUAUCUCCUGAAGGGAUUUGUGCACUAAUUAGUCAGAGGCAAACUUAAAAAAAUAUUAGGAACCAUUAUCUGUGAUCACACUUAGGAAAUAAGAGGCCUUCCACUAAAGUCAAAAGCAUUGAUCUUUGAGAAAGCUUGCCAACAUGCAUUAAAUUUUGUGUGGGAAGAAGUACAUUUUAAAUAGGCCCCACUAAACUAAACC
rnacentral:lncRNA from 1 species